AGCGAACGCUGGCGGCAGGCCUAACACAUGCAAGUCGAACGCACUCUUCGGAGUUAGUGGCGGACGGGUGAGUACCACGUGGGAACGUGCCUUUUGGUUCGGAAUAUCUCAGGGAAACUUGUGCUAAUACCGAAUGUGCCCUUCGGGGGAAAGAUUUAUCGCCAUUAGAGCGGCCCGCGUCUGAUUAGCUAGUUGGUGAGGUAACGGCUCACCAAGGCGACGAGCAGUAGCUGGUCUGAGAGGAUGACCAGCCACACUGGGACUGAGACACGGCCCAGACUCCUACGGGAGGCAGCAGUGGGGAAUCUUGCGCAAUGGGCGAGAGCCUGACGCAGCCAUGCCGCGUGAAUGAUGAAGGUCUUAGGAUUGUAUAAUUCUUUCACCGGGGACGAUAAUGACGGUACCCGGAGAAGAAGCCCCGGCUAACUUCGUG
rnacentral:rRNA from 1 species